rnacentral:rRNA from 1 species
CAGUCGCCGCGGUAAUACGAAAGGUCCAAGCGUUACUCGGAAUUACUGGGCGUAAAGCGCGCGUAGGCGGUUUUGUAUGUCGAUUGUGAAAGCCCCGGGCUCAACCUGGGAACUGCAGUCGAAACUGCAAGACUUGAAUGUUGGAGAGGUUGGGGGAAUACCUAGUGGAGAAGUGAAAUUCGUAGAGAUUAGGUGGAACACCAGAGGCGAAGGCGCCUGACUGGCCAAACAUUGACGCUAAGGCGAGAAAGCGUGGGUAGCAAACAGGAUUAGAUACCCCAGUAGUCCCUGUCUCUUAUAU